AUAACUAUUUUUAUUCUCUGAUCAUUAGUGAGUGUGAACUCGUGAAAUGUAUCAUAUGAAUUGAAGGUGAUAUAAUAAUGUUCAUGUAAGUAUUGUUUGAUAUGGAUUACAGAAAUACCUAUGCUUGACUUCAAAAUGUGUUUGUCAACAUGUUUAGAUUGGCUGUGAUAUGUGCCCACGCUGGUUUCACUGCAGAUGUGUUCAACGUACAAGAAAAAACAAAACAUACAUCUGCCCAGUUUGUCAACCUUAAUUGUGUCUUGGUUUUUCUUGAUCACCCGGUUUUUGACCCCCUGCUCUCGUCCUGGAAUAUUGCCUUUGCUUCAUCCUUCAUACUGUUGGUCCGCUACUGAUUUUGACCCCAGCCUGUUCUUUGGAUUUUGCCUCUGUCUCGCCCUCUUACUUGAUGGCUCGGCUAUCAAUAAUUUUAUGUUCUUUUUUAUUGUUUUCAUUCAACGUUUUGACAAUAAAUCCUGUUCUAAAUUGAUCUGCUCUUGGGUCCUGUUGUCUGAACCUCCCUAACAACUUUAGCUGGGUCAGAGACUCAAGACACUCAUUCUGGAGACUCAUCUCAUCCUGUAGACUACCUGCAGAAAAGCACAAGUGUGUAGUUUCAAUACAUGGCAAUUGAACCAUCAUACUGGACUUGGAAACAUAAAUCCAGGGCAAGAGUAAAAGAGCAAUUGGAUUCCAUUCAGUCUGAAUUUAAUGUUCUGGAUGGAGAUAAUGUUAUUGAUGAAGAUGGAGUCAUUUAUGAAGAUGGAGUCGUUGAGGAUUUUCCAUGUGAUGUCGAAGAGAUAGAU